UAGGGAAUCUUCCACAAUGGACGCAAGUCUGAUGGAGCAACGCCGCGUGAGUGAAGAAGGUUUUCGGAUCGUAAAGCUCUGUUGUUGGUGAAGAAGGAUAGAGGCAGUAACUGGUCUUUAUUUGACGGUAAUCAACCAGAAAGUCACGGCUAACUACGUGCCAGCAACCGCGGUAAUACGUAGGUGGCAAGCGUUGUCCGGAUUUAUUGGGCGUAAAGCGAGCGCAGGCGGAAUGAUAAGUCUGAUGUGAAAGCCCACGGCUCAACCGUGGAACUGCAUCGGAAACUGUCAUUCUUGAGUGCAGAAGAGGAGAGUGGAAUUCCAUGUGUAGCGGUGGAAUGCGUAGAUAUAUGGAAGAACACCAGUGGCGAAGGCGGCUCUCUGGUCUGCAACUGACGCUGAGGCUCGAAAGCAUGGGUAGCGAACAGG
rnacentral:rRNA from 1 species